GAUGAAUGCUGGCGGCGUGCCUAAUACAUGCAAGUCGUACGGAAAGGCCCUUCGGGGUACUCGAGUGGCGGACGGCUGAGUAACGCGUGGGAACGUGCCCCAAAGUGAGGAAUAACUGCCCGAAAGGGUAGCUAAUGCCGCAUAUGGUCUUCGGAUUAAAGCUUCGGCGCUUUGGGAGCGGCCCGCGUACGAUUAGAUAGUUGGUGAGGUAAUGGCUCACCAAGUCGACGAUCGUUAGCUGGUCUGAGAGGAUGAUCAGCCAGACUGGAACUGAGACACGGCCCAGACUCCUACGGGAGGCAGCAGUGGGGAAUAUUGGACAAUGGGGGCAACCCUGAUCCAGCCAUGCCGCGUGAGUGAUGAAGGCCUUAGGGUUGUAAAGCUCUUUUACCCGGGACGAUAAUGACUGUACCGGGAGAAUAAGCCCCGGCUAACUUCGUGCCAGCCGCCGCGGUAA
rnacentral:rRNA from 1 species